rnacentral:rRNA from 1 species
AUGGAUGCUUUCAUGGGCGCGAUGCGCAGGUUGCUGUCCACGUGUUCUCCUGCGGCUGACUGCAACAGCAGUCGUGCCAUCAAGACCCUAAGUCUCAGCUUCUACAUGUCAUCCACUCACCUUUGCUCCAUUGGCCGCGCCGUGGAGGACGUCGUCACCCACAACGCGACUGAAAGGCUCGAGUUUAACAUAUCCCUGUCGUCUGGGAACAAAACGAGGUUUGGGAAGCAGUUCAUGUCCUUCUCCCGCUCCUGCCGGGUCACCUUUCGAUGUCUCACGAGUCGAGAUGGCAAUGGGGCCUCGAAACCCGCGCUUACACUUGAGAACCUUGCUUUUGGACAUUCCGACGUCACAAAUCUCAUUAACGCUUGUGAUAGGCUCGACCACCUCACCCUGAGUUGUUGCAGAUUGGUUAAGCACUCCGCGGUCAAGAUUGACACGCCUUGUUCCGGAAUCAAGGAGCUCAAGUUCAUCUACUUUAUGUGCACGUGGAUCGAGCUCAUCUCUGUCCGUAAGCUUAGGCAAGUGCGGUGCGUAUGUUGGCCCUUCGAAAACCCUCCAGUGCGCUUGGGCUACGUUCCAGAGCUUCGUGAUGUAAGUCUUUUUAAUAAAGCCAUGGCAUGGCAGGCACCAUUCAAACUGAGUGAGUGUCUAUCAAGGAGUGCCAAGAACCUGUCGAGACUGAUACUUAAUUUUGGCCACCAAAUGAUUUGGAUUCAACCUGAACAUCCCAAGCACCUCACUACAAUAUUCAGAAACCUGACUGAUGUGUAUCUUAACUGUAUCUUUCCCGAGUGUGAUCUGAACUGGACCAUGUUUAUCGUCCAAGCUGCACCUGCCCUACUGAAUUUUACAUUGUAUCGAAAUCAACAUCCAUGUGUCAAAACGUCUGAGCAUAGUGCCCAGAAGACCAACAUGCUGCCGGAACCAUCCAAGGAUUGGAAGCACCUGAACUUGAAGUUACUCGUGAUGGCAGGGUUCGAGGAGGAAGACAAGGUGACAAAUUAUCUAAGACUUUUCAUGGAACGAGCCGUGGGUUUGAAGAGAAUCGAGCUGCGUGGUAAACACCCCUGUGAUAAGUGCAAUGCCACGGACCUUGAACUUGAGUCCACAAGAUCCCUUGUUGACAAAGCUAGCAGGUAUCGGAUUAAGGAGCGACUCACACAUGAAUCCUCCUUGUCUGUCAAAAUAACAAUAUGUUGA